rnacentral:lncRNA from 1 species
AGAGAACUUUGGAGGAAGCUUGCAGAUAAGAGAAGAAGAAUGGAUUGGAUCAAAGAAAAAGAAAAAAAGCAUAUCUCAUCUCAUCAUCAAUUCAUCAUCAUUUUUCUUUUAGAGGUGAGUUAUUUGCUAGUAUAGCCUUUAGGAGAAAUUUUACAAGAAAUUGAGUUUAGGAUUUUUAUGAACUCUUGCUUGUUUGUGAAAUUGAUGAUUAAAACAUGAUUGCUAUGUUUUGUGUUAUUGUUGCUAAAUUAUGAUAUUAUGUUGUGUUGACGUUGGAUGUUAUGUUGUGUUGAUGUUGUAGGUUAUGUUGUGUUGUUGUGUAUUGAUGUUGUGUUGGGGUUAUGAGAAUAUGUGUUGAAGUUAUUUUGUGGUUGUUGUAUGAUGCUAUGACAUGUUAAUUACAUGAGGUUAUUAUGUGUGUUAUGAUGUUGAAAUGAUAUGUCUUGAUGUGUUAUAAGAUGAUAGAAUGAGUUGGAUUGCCAAAGAUUAAUUAGGGUAAGAAGGGAUGAAAGCAUAGUUGUUUAGACAUCCUUGUAUGACGUUGAUUUCAUGGUAUGAAAUAUUUGAAUAUGUUGUAAUAUGAUUGGAUAUGGUUUGAAUGGUUAGAGGUUGAAGAAUAUGGGUUUAAAAGUGAGUUCUUUGGGAAGAAAACAGAGAAAUUCAACUAUGUCUGAUUUGGUUCGAGUCAGGGAAUCAACCUGAUUCGAAUCAUAGAGUAAAAUUCUACAGAAAAACCUUCUGCCAAAUUUAAUUUGAGUCAGGGAAUACACCUGAUUCAAAUCAGAAGACUGAUUUUGUUCCUAACUUAUUUUUCUCAUAACUGAAAUUUCGUAACUCGGAUUGAGACGCGGUCGAAUAUGUUGGAAAGCUUGUUUAAAUCUUUAUCUCUUGAUGAUGCUUAUUGACAUUUGUUUUCAAGUUUUAUCUAUGGGAAAUGAAUGUAUUCUUCCUUUACUUGUGUGUGCCAUAUUUCAUAGAUAAUGGAAACGAAAUCCAUUGAAUUUAUAUUAAUUGAUCAAGUUCCAUGCUAAUGAGUGUGUUUUAACCUAGAAUCUUAGUUAGGUUAAAAUGAUUGGUAAGAAUGAACUUAGGUUAUGAUUAAUAAUUUUGGUUGUGAUGCUCGAUUGUGAAAGGUACAUAGGUGUGUAUCAAUGAACGGGUAGUCACUUGAGACGAAUCAUUCCAUCAACGAGAGUGUACGAAUGGCAUGGGUGGUGAACACUAGUCUAGUUGCAAGUUAAUGGGAUUUGUAUGGAAACAUAGUAAGAUAAUCACAUAGUAAUUGAUGUGAUAAUCAUGUCGUGAUUGAUGAGAAUAAUCACCUAGUGAUUUAUGUAAUAAUCAUAUAUGAUUGGUGAUAAUAAUCACGUAGUGAUUGAUGUGAAUAAUCACGUAACAGUUGAUAAGAGUAAUCAGGUAUGCGAGAAUAACCUCUUUUCGUGCCUAUCUAGAGUUUGACUCUUAUGUAAAGUAGUGAUCAGGAUAGACAGAACAUUAAUUUGUAACUUCAAAUUUGCUUAGAGUCCCAUAGAAGAGUGAUCCUUAAAGUGGGUUAGAGUCCUAUAAGAGAGUGAACCUCAAAGUGGGUUAGAGUCCCAUAGAGGAGUAGACUUCAAAGUGGGUUAGAGUCCCAUAGAGGAUAAAAUUUCAGUGUGAUAGACGAAUCAUUAUGCAAAUAUUCGUAUCACAUGUCCAUAGUCCUAGAUGUGGGAUCGAACGGGGAAAGAUACUUUGUUGUUUUCAUUCCUGAAUAGUGACUUAUUUAGUUAUGUGGACUCAUGUUCAUAUGUUUCCAUACAAAGCGAAAAUCCCUUAUAAAUGUAUACAAGUAGGACAAAUUUGAAUGACUUAAGUUAGAAUAUUGGUUAGUAACCUAUUAGAGCCGAGUGAACUCAUAAGAUAGGAGGCCCCACUGAGAAUAUUAUGUCACCCCCAUUAUAUUGUUGAAUUUUUAGGUAACUCAAGGCAAGAAAAGGAAAAAGCAAAGUUGUUUGAGGACGUUCAAAGAUUUUAUGAUAUUUUGAGUAGUUUUCGUUGUUUACAUGUAUAUAUCUUAGCAUUUUGUUUAGGAACUUUUGUAUAUCAUGUGCCAUAUGAUGUAUUUUGAGUAUUUGGGACAUGUAUAUAAAUGAUGUUGUUAGGUGCUUAUGUUGUAUCAGUACCAAUUAACAUUGUGUAUGAUAUUAUUCUAGAUUUAUAUUAUACACGGUGUUAUAGUUGGUAUCAUAACAAGUCGAUUCUCAACCCAGCUUUGAAACAUCAUAAGUAAAUCAAAUCAUGCUUCAUAUGUUUGCAUUGCCAGCAUGGUUCUUAAUGUCGCGGUAUAGAGUGGUGUGCCUGAUCAACCUAAUUCCAUGUCCAUGGUAGGUAGAAUCAUGACUGAGAAACCACGAGGACUCUGAAUGUCUAUUAUUGCUUCUUCUCAGAGUGUGUGGUCAGACCAAGAGUUCGAAAGUAAGAGGGACCAAUGGAUUUGGUUGAUGCACCAGGGGUAGUAACGUGAGUUUGUGAUUCAGGUGAUGCGGCAAAUGCAGGGUGGUGCGCAGUUCAAGCCAUCCGGAAAUAUAAGAGGAGUUGGAAUUUUAAGGGUUUCUAUCGGAUGAAUCCACGUGGAUUUGGAAGAAGUCUAAACCUUUAGUGGCACAAGACUGGCCCACUGACAUGGAACAAGUCUUGCAAGUAGUUUCAUGCAGGGAGGAAGAAAAGGUAGUUUUUCCGCUCAUAUGAUACAAAUCUUAGUAGAGAGGUGGUGUACUAGUUUCUCGGCUUGUAUGACCAUUCAGAGUACCCCAAAUGAGUGAAAGUAUUUCAAGGAAGUAUUCUUGGAAAAAUACCUUCCUAAUGGUUAGGAAGCUUAAAAGGUAUUGAAAUUUAACAACUUCAUAGAGGAACUAUGGCGGUGGCAAAGUAAACGGUAAAGGUCGGGGGCAUGACUAUUUACUCCACGCGAUCUAUCUAUUCACCGGAAAAAGGAUUGAAGUUGGACCAAAUUAUGCUCAGUCUUAGCAAAGAGAUAUAUACAUUGCUUCCAAGAAAGUAUGUGAUAAUAGUAUCUUGGUGACGAGUAUGUAUGCUUGAUUAUCUUGUGUUGUUAUAGUUGUGGAGUAUCAUACCCCGUUGUUCGAGCAGAGAUGUUUUACGUCUUGGGAUUUAUAGUAUGCGACAAGUAACCGAGAGCUAGAUAGAAUUAGAUAUGGGAUUAAGUGUGGAUCGUGAAAGAGACUAUGUCUCGUGAACUCGUAAGUAGGUGGCAAGGGUUGUCACUCGUGAGUCAUCUAGAUAUGUAACCUCCAUGUGAUAAAAAUGUAUACUAUAUGUUAAUUUUAGAAGGGAAUUCGACUCGAUAAGUAUGUGGGGAUGUCAAAGCUCAUCGCGAGUGCGUAUUAUUUAGUUGUCAAGAAUAGAAGAGGUUUAUUUUGAAGUCCUCUUAUUAUUUAUCUUCCAAAGUAUUAUUUGUGUUGUAUGAACCUGGAGCAUGACAUUCACAUAUUGUUGAAACCAGGUAAAUCCUAAAUUCCAUUUUGUGUGUCAUCAUAGAUGUGUAAGGUUGAUAAAUGAACUAGAAAAGUAGUGCAAGUCGGAACGAUAGAAUUGAUCUUUAAAUUCCUUUGGAUGUAUUGUGUAGUCGACCACCUGUAGAGAUACCAAGGAAGGUAAAUGCUUGGGGAUCCAACAUAUAUGAAUUAUACUCAGUGUAACUAAGUCUUAGGCAUGUCAUUCUUAUGCCUAAUGAGAUCCAUAAGGAGUGAAGCUGGAAGAGACUUACCGAGUGGUGAUCUCGAGGAGAUCAAUUAAGUAUCUUACUCACGUGUCGAUAAGGUAUGAAUGGAUAAUCAUAGUAUGACAUCUAUAAAGUUCACUUAGAUGCACGGCCUCAGAGGUAAACCCUUAUGAGAGUGGUACCAGAUGUAUAAAAUGCUAACAUACCCCAUCAGCAGGAUACAUGAGUUAUCCUCCCAGGCAAGAGUGGGAUUGAGAUGUUCCUAAAGUUUAGUGUUUAACUAAAAUUUAAUACUUGUAAGAACACAUUCUAGAAUUCCCAUGAGAUAGAGCAAGAUGGCCGGUGAUCUGCACGCCAUACUAGUUCGUCAAGAACUACCUAUGUCGCCCUUAACAUACGAGAAGCGGAGAGAGGUUACCCUUAUGACUCAUUUUAUAUGUAUGGGACUAUGCAUGGUUAGCUCCUAUGGAAGGGUCGUGGAAUAUAAUAGGUUCUAGUUUUAUUCUUAUGAGGAGACCUUGAGUCUUCGUAGUUGUGUGAGUAUUUCAAGAGUUAUAUUGUUAGGGACUUCUCAUUGUACGGUGAAGCUCAAAGUGUUUCAAGUGUAUGAGCCUAAUUUAGGGUUUACGUGUGACUCCUGCAUACCUAUCAUUUUUGCAGGUAUUGGUCUUAUUCUCAACUUUUUUACGCCAAUGAGAAAAUUAUUCUAUUGAUGGAUGUCAGUAAGGUGUUGGUGUUGGUGUUGUUUCGAGCGAUAUGCUCUAUAUAAGGGCAGAUAUGGAUUUUAUUAUGGAGGCCGCAAGGCAGCCAAUAAGACCUAUGAAUCUGAUAUGUUCCAUGCCAAUUUAAUCAUAGUAGUGCAAUGGAAAGUUGUAGAGGGAAGAUCUCAAUAAGGUUUUCAUGAAGAAUAUGAAGAUUGAUGUUCCUAGGAUUAGAUGUAAGACACUUACGCACCAAAUGGGAGAUAUCUUAUUCGAGUGUGCGGAGGAGGUGAGGCAUCAGGUGUCUGCAUGAUUUAGAACAUAGUAAUAAGCUAAUUGAAGUCUAUUAAGAUUAUUAGUAGCCAGAUUGUAAGGUCUAUAAAAAAUGUUCGAGAAUUCAUAGAAGAAUGGUUAUAGGUAGCACUAGUAAGUAAGGGAUCAUUGCAUGGAAACACAAAGAUAUGAGAAUGAAUUUCAAUUUAGGGGGGUUAUACCCCAUAUCCUCUUAAAUUAUCCUUUCUUUAUUAAUUAGGACAAAUUGAGUAAUUAGUGAGCUAAGAAAAUAUCAAUUAUCUUAAUCUUUGCUAGCCAGUAAGGAAGAACAAUUUGGUAAUUAUAAAGAGUGACGUUUUGGAGAAUAUGUGAGUUUGGCAAGGGCAAGUUGGUAAAUGGUCAAGUUAAUUUGACUAAAUGACAAACAAGUUUAGUACUUGUUUCUCAUUUGUCUUUUUCUCUCUAAUUUUCCAUCAUUUUCCUCAAAAGCUAGUAAGAGAGAGAGAGAGAGAGAGAGCUUGAAGGAAUAUUGAAGAGAAGAUAAGAAGAAGAUAUUGGAUCAAAGAAGAAGAAAGGAAUUUAAUAUCAUCUAAUCACAAAUUCAUCAUCAUCUUUCUUUCUAGAGGUGGGUUCUUAGUUAGUAUAGCCUUUGGGGGGAAAUUUUUUCAUGAAAUUGGGUUUAGGGUUUUGAUGAGUUCUUGCUUGUUUGUGAAAUUGAUGAUUUAGACAUGAUUCUUGCUAUGUUUUGUGUUAUUGUUGCUAAAUAAUGAUAUUACGUUGUGUUGAUGUUAGAUGUUAUGUUGUGUUGAUGUUAGAUGUUAUGUUGUGUUGAUGUUGGUGUUGAUGUUGUAGGUUAUAUUGUGUUGUUGUGUAUUGAUAUUGUGUUGGUGUUAUGAGAUAUGUGUUGAAGUUAUGUUCUGGUUGUUGUUGUAUGAUGUUAUGACAUGUUGAUUACAUGAGGCUAUUAUUAUUGUUAUGAUCUUGAAAUGAUAUGUCUUGAUAUGUUAUAAGAUGAUAGGAUGUUGGAUUGUUAGAGAUUAAUGAGGUUAAGAGGUGAUGAAAACAUAGUUGUCUAUACAUCCUUGUAUGAUGUUGAUUCAUGGUAUAAAAUGUUUGAAUAUGUUGUAAUAUGAUUGAAUAUGGUUUAGAUGGUAAGAAGUUGAAGAAGACGGGUUUAGAAGUGAGUUCUUUGGGAAGAAAACCACGAAAUUCAGCUAUACAUAAUUUGAUUUGAGUCAGAGAAUCAACCUGAUACGAAUCAUAAAGUAAAAUUCUAUAGAAAAACCUUCUACCAGAUUUGGAUUCGAGUCAAGUAAUACACUUAAUUUUAAUUAGGAGAGAUUUAUUUUGUUCUUACCUUGUUUUCCUCAUAACUUGAGUUUCGUAACUCAAAUUUAGAGGUGAUCGAAUGCGUUGGAAAUAUUUUUUAAAGCUCUAUAUCAUGAUGAUGCUUAAUGACACUUAUUUUCAUGUUUUCUAUGUGGGAAACAAUUGUAUUCUUUGUUUACUUAUGUGUGCCAUAUUCCAUAGAUAAUGGAAAUGAAAUGCAUUAAAUUAACAAUAAUUGAUCAAAUUCCAUGCGAAUGAAUGCAUUUUAACAUAAUAUCUUAGUUAGGUUAAAAUGAUUAGUAAGAAUGAACUUAGGUUAUGAUGAAUAACUUAGGUUGUGAUGCUUGAUUGUGAAAGGUACCUCGGUGUGUAUCAACGAAUGAGUAGCCACUUGAGAUGAAUUGUUCCAUCAACGAGAGUGCAUGAAUGGCAUGGAUGGUUAACAAUAGUCUAGUUGUGAGUUAAUGGGAUUUAUAUGGAAACAUAGUAAGAUAAUCAUAUAGUGAUUGAUGUGAUAAUCUCGUAGUGAUUGAUGAGAAUAAUCAUGUAGUGAUUGAUGUGAAUUAUCACAUAGUGAUUUAUGAGAAUAGUCACAUAGUGAUUGAUGUGAAUAAUCAUAUAAUGUAAUGAUCAGGAUAGACGAACCAUUGAUAACCCUUUUUCGUGCUUAUCCCGAGUUUGGCCCUUAUGUAAAGUAGUGAUCAGGAUAGACAAAUCAUUGAUACCUCGUGUCCAUGGUCCUAGACAUGGGAUCGGUCGGGGUAAAAUUUGUUUGGUUGCGUUCCUGAAUGGUGAUUUAUUGAGUUAUGUAGAUUCAUGUUUAUAUCUUUCCAUACAAAGCAUAAAAAAUCCUUAAAUACUUAAGCUUGUGUUAUAUUGUGUAAAUGUAUACAACUAGUACGAAGUCGAAUGGCUUAAGUUAGAAUAUCGUUUAGCAACCCAUUAGAGUCCAUUGAGCCCAUGAGAUAGGAGGACCCACUGAGAAUAUUAUCUCACAUCCAUUAUAUUGUUGAAUUUUCAGGAAUCUCAAGGCAUGACAAGAAAAAGGCAAAGUUGCUUGAGGAUGUUCAAAUAUUUUAUGAUGUUUUGAGAAGUUUUUUUUAUUUAUGUGUAUAUAUAUUAGCAUUUUGUUUAGGCCCUUUUGUAUAUUAUGUAUCAUAUGGUGUAUUUUGAUUAUAUGGGGCAUGCAUACAAAUUAUGUCGUUAGGCACUUAUGUUGUAUCAGUACUAAUUAAUAAUGUGCAAGAUAUUAUUCUCGAUUUAUAUAAUACAGGGUGUUACAUUAA